AAGUGGGGUGGGCCACGGGAGGGAAGGGCGUGGCUCGGUGCAGGGAUACUCCGACUCGGGGGGUGGGCUUUGCCUGUUGGAGGCGAAGGGGCGUGGGGGAGGGACAGUUUGAGGUGAUGACCGGAGAAUUUGGGGCACGGGUGGUCAGAACGCCAGCGCCAGGGCCGGACAGCUUGGGCAGGGAUGGGUACGCGCUGCAGAAUGACGGAGCCCUCGGCAGGGACAGCGUCCCGCGCUCCCCCGUUUGUCAACGUCCCUUCCCCCAGGAGCUUUCGGUCGCCUCUCCCUUUCCGCUUCUUUCAGAGGUUGGUCGCGGGGGGAGAAUGGUGGAGGAUGAAAGCCCUGCUGGAGCCGAAGACGACAACUCUGGCCCAGGCAGGGAAGAGCCGGGCGCUCGGAGUAAUAGGCUGCUCCGGGUAGAGGAUGGGGGUCGUUUAAAGCUGGGAGGGGUCUAGGGAAAAGAGCUAGGGGCUUAGGGUCCGACAGGUUCGAAUCCACGUCCACCGCUGAUUAAAGCUGAUAGGUAACCUUGGGCAGGUCNNNNNNNNNNNNNNNNNNNNNNUGAACCGCUGGAAGAUGUCGUGUUUCAACGAGCUAUUGCAAGCAUCUUGUACGUGAUUGAGACCGUUUAUGAAAACUGUAAAUUGUGAGUACUAUGCCGAUGUUACUGUAUCACUAACAGUAUAACUGGAUUUUUAGAUAUUACUGUUAUUAGUGGAGUGACCGAUUUCUUUGUCAGGGCGAAGCGUACUGUAAAACCUCAAUAGUCACAGACAUGUUUUCUUCAUCGGCACAGCAGAUCACGUGCAGAAAUAGCAGUUUGUUCUGUUACGUGACAAAUUAGCCAUCAGACUUGUGUAGGAAAAAUACCAUACUCUCAGGCACUUUUACAAACGGUGUGUAUAAGCUCCUAAAUCAAGAGGAAGGAAAGAGGGAAUGAAGGGCCGAUCUUUUAAAUGCCUUUCUGAAGAACACAGCUCAUUGAGGUUCGUUCUCUUUUAACACAGGUGGUACUAAUGUGCUUUUUUAUUAUGAGUUGAGAAAACUGACUUGAGACAAACUGGGAGGGAUGACCAUUGAGGAAUACAAUUUGUUAUUUUUUAAUUGUAAGAAAGUUCUUUGUAAAAGGGUCCCUGGUUGCCUCAAGGCCCUGUCUCUGUUUUGGAGGUCAGAAAGCAUAUAGCAGCUUUUCAGCUUCACUUUUUGUUAGCCUGUCGGUGGGACCCCCAGGGUGGAGUGUCUCUCAGAGAAAGGCAGAAGCAGCUGUGCAAGAGCCCAGGAGGAGGCUGGUUGGUUUCUGAGGAGCUGAAGGAGCACUCCUGAGGCUUUGUUAUUCUUCUUGUUUAGGGUGGACAAAGCAGAGGACAGAGUUAAACUGUGUACUUCAAGAGAGAGACUAUGGCUUUCUAGUCACAGCUUUUGAAAGAGAUGAAACUCUUUUCAAAAGGACAGAAAAAGAUGAAGCUUGAGCUCUGCUGACUCCCAGGCCGGAGAGCUUGAAAUGGCAAGGCUCUUUGGAAAUUAGUGAGUGAUUUCUCUCUCAUCUGAGCAAAGAUAGGGAGGGGCUGUACUAGAUCCUUAAAUAUUCCCAGAUAAGGGGACAAAUUAUUUUUUAGGAAUGGGGGAAAUGAACCCAUGUUGUCUUUAAUGUCUUUAUCUGGUAAAACGUUUUGGCUUCUCUUUCCUGAAAAUGCACAGUGAUGUAUCAUUUUUAACUUUUUGCUCUAAUUCCUCGCCUCUUCCAAUAAAUUCUCUGUCCAUAACACAGAGGAUAGUUUAAAAAAGAAAGCAUUUGUUACUGUCGUCAUGGGUCAUUUACAGGAUACAAAUUUAUUCUGUUUUUGACUACCACAUGAAACUGAAGUAGAGGUAUAAAAUGUUAAAACUAGCCUGAACGCUUUAUUUUUAAUAGUUGGAUGUUUAUUUUUAAUAUUGGUGGUGAAUUUUCCCCUCUAUUGGAAAUUUCCAUCAGUUCAAACAAGUCCAUAAAUGCCAUUCUUAUUAUGUUAAAAUGGUAGAGGUUUGUUUAGCUGUGAUGAGAAUUUCCUGUCCUUUCUUUCUGUUCUCUUUCCUAUUUGUGGUUACUUUUAUGUAGUGGAUGUAGAGGAGUCUUCCUCUGAGGGAGAGAAAGGGGAUGGUCAGUAACCUUGAUUCCCUGAUUUGGAGCAGUCUGUCUAAAAUGGGGAGUAAGGACUUGCCCUGAAUCCUUGAGACAGUGGAGGUUAAAAUAAAAGGAAUGAGGUUUUGGGUUUCCCGUUGUGGCUCAGCGGAAAUGAAUUUGGUUAGUAUCCAUGAGGACACAGGUUCGAUCCCUGGCCUGAUCAGUGGGUUAAGGAUCCGGCGUUGCCAUGAGCUCUGGUGUAGGUUGAAGAUUCAUAUCUGGCUGUGGCUGUGGCUGUGGCUGUGGCUGUGGCGUAGGCCAGUGGCUACAGAUCCGAUUUGAUCUCUAGCCUGGAAACUUCCAUAUGUUGAGGGUGCGGCCCUAAAAAGACCAAAAAAAAAAAAAAAAAAAGGUUUACCAGCUCAUUUUUAUUUUGAUAACAGUGAAUCUUUUUUUCUUAAAAAAAGCAUCUCAUGGAGUUCCUGUUGCGGCGCAGUGGUUAACGAAUCCGACUUGGAACCAUGAGGUUUCGGGUUCGAUUCCUGGCCUUGCUCAGUGGGUUAAGGAUCCGGCAUUGCCAUGGGCUGAGGUGUAGGUCGCAGAUGCAGCUUGGAUCCUGCGUUGCUGUGGCUCUGGUGUAGGUCGGUGGCUACCGCUCUGCUCCGAUUAGACCCCUAGCCUUAGAACCUCCAUAUGCCGUGGGAGUGGCUCAAGAAAAGGCAAAAAGACCAAAAAAAAAAAAAAAAAAAAAAAAA
rnacentral:lncRNA from 1 species